UAUAAUGCACCACAAGUGCCUCAUCUAGAGCCCUUUGAGCCCCAGGCCAACUGGAAUAACUGUACAGGAAAGACUAAUGUCAUCAACUCAGGCAGAAAAACACUGGCAACUGGAGAACGUAAGAGCUGUGCAACUGACACAUCUGGAAUUCUGGAGGAUCAUGGAAUACACAGCUCUUCUUGAUGGGGACACGAACUUCAUUAGAAAUAACUUCGGCUUUCAGGAAGCAAACAUUACACACCCACCUCCUCCACUGGGAAAACUGAGGCUCACUGUGUGCUCACAGCCACGUCCAGGUGCAGUGUUUUCUGCCUGAGGUGAUGACAUUAGUCUUUAAUGUACAGGUAUUCUAGUAAUGCACGUAGGUAAAAGAAAUGGGCCUUGCAUGUCUUCAGUACCUCUGGCUGCCUGGGGCUCAAAGGGCUCUGGGUGAGGCACUUGUGGUGCAUUAUAUUUGAGCAGCAAAGGCUUCUGGGUGAGGCAGUUGGCGUGCAUUAUAUUUGAGCGCAAAGGCUUCUGGGUGAGGCAGUUGGCGUGCAUUGUAUUUGAGCGCAAAGGCUUCUGGGUAAAGCAGUUAACGAGCUUUGCUGUUGCUCCUGCGCAAAGGCCUCUGGAUGAAGCAGUUGGUGUGCGGUGCUGCUGCCUGUACUUGGAGGACUCCUCUGGACUCCUGGGCUGUGCGCUCGGGGAGACGGUUGUUUCAGCCAUUAGGCUCAGGCAGAAGAGUUCAUCUGUUGCUGCAAGUUCCCAAGUCUGUCUUCUGUGGGUCUCAGCUGUCAUCUGUGGGUCUGACCAUCUGCUGGUCUUGGAAGCCUUCAGUCAGAUGUAUCUGGACCAAGUGAUUUGGUUGCAAGAGGCCAGGACUCCUGCCAUCUUGGAAGCCUCUCCAUUACCUGUUCACACGACACACGGAGCAUCCUUUGUGCCCUGAAGAAAACUCUGACCCCUCAACAGAAUAUGAAUGGCAGGGCAGAAAUACAAGUUGAGGCUACAUAAGUCAGUGCUUUGGGAACAGUUGUCAAGGCCCUGGUGAAACUCUCCACACCCAAUGACAAGUUCCUGUGUGUCACACUCUUGGUAACACUUCUGCCUAUGAAAUUAAACUCAGCUCUCUGAGGACUCAGUGGCUGAUCUUCUCUCAAACAUAGACUGCCUAAGAUAAGAAAUCAUUCAGCUUUCAAUAUCUCAAAAUUUUGACAGGAUAUCUCCAUAUUUCACUGCUGUUCUUAUCCAGGAUCAAGCUUGGAACCAGCUCCCGCUCUGACUUCAGCUGUCAAACACUGCAGACUUCACCUUGACUCUACUCAACGCACAGCGUGUGCCUCACCUUUCAUGCAGUCAGACACCCC
rnacentral:sRNA from 1 species